rnacentral:misc_RNA from 1 species
UAUAACUUUUUGAUAUAACAUCCAAAUCCAUAGGAGCGAUAAAAAAGACGGUGCACAGGUGAGUGAAAAAUGAUUUGGGCCUCGAUGAAGAGCGCCCAUGUAAUCACUAAUGAUCCUUCCGCAGGUUCACCUACGGAAA